rnacentral:tRNA from 1 species
GGGAUUAUAGCUCAGUAGUAGAGCGCUUGCUCAGCAUGUGCAAGAUCCUGGGUUCAAUUCCCAGUACCCA